AAGGAAUUUGGGUCCAUUUUUAAUUAUUUUAAUUACACUUCGUGACCACAAGAGGGUGCCAUUCACACACAAUUCUGUAUUCUGUUGUCAUUUUUAAUUGUGCUGAUUUCUGGGAAGUCGUCCAUUUUCUAAUUCUGUUUCUUCAUUCUUUUUCUCACGUCUAGCACUCUGUUCAUGUAUUAAAGUUAUUGUUGUCAUUUCUGUAACACACUCCGACUCCAGCACUGCAGCAGACCACCUGUGUGUGUCACUGAAAUAACACCGAGUCUGCCGGAGUUUCAGGACUGUGAGGUGGACCCUCAGAGAAGUUCACGACAAGCCAUUUUAUCACAGAGGACAGCGCCGUGUCACCUCACUGAUGUCGAUGAUUUCUUUUUGUAAUUCCUGCCUUUCUUUAUUUUCAUUUCUGUUUUAUUUCAUUUCAUCACAAACUCAUC